CCUACGGUAGGCAGCAGUGAGGAAUAUUGGUCAAUGGCCGAGAGCCUGAACCAGCCAAGUCGCGUGAGGGAAGACGGCCCUACGGAUUGUAAACCUCUUUUGUCGGGGAGCAAAGCGAGUCACGUGUGGCUCAUUGAGAGUACCCGAAGAAAAAGCAUCGGCUAACUCCGUGCCAGCAGCCGCGGUAAUACGGAGGAUGCGAGCGUUAUCCGGAUUUAUUGGGUUUAAAGGGUGCGCAGGCGGAGGUGCAAGUCAGCGGUCAAAUUGCGAGGCUCAACCUCGUAGUGCCGUUGAAACUGGUUGCCUUGAGUGAGGGAGAAGUAUGCGGAAUGCGUGGUGUAGCGGUGAAAUGCAUAGAUAUCACGCAGAACUCCGAUUGCGAAGGCAGCAUACCGGCGCGCAACUGACGCUCAUGCACGAAAGCGUGGGUAUCGAACAGGAUUAGAUACCCCGGUAGUC
rnacentral:rRNA from 1 species